GUGUCAAAAGGGCCUUUUCUUCUAUGGACAACCUAUCUGCCAUUCCUAUCCCGAAACUGCAAAUCCUGAGGGGAGGUCAAGUCAGAGAACAGUCAGAAGUCUGGGGGCUGAAGAGAUGGCUCAGUGGCUUUGUUCUCCACAGUCUGCUUGGCUCUCCUUCCGGGGCCCUUCUUCCAUCCCGGCUGUGGCUGUUGUUGAGGAUGAAAAGGUACUGGGAGUCUGGCUGCUGUAAUUGGAGCUUGCACCUGCAGACCCCAGGCCUGGGAGGAGGCUCAGCGUGGCCGCUCUGUGUGCAAGUGUUUAUGGUAAUGUUAUCCAGGCAGUGGUGAGGACCAAUACCCACAGCCUCUGAAUCCAGCCCCAGAAGCAAGAGAUGGAGACAUCUCUCAAGUGAGCCAUAUGGUUAUGCCUCUGCCCUUGGCCCAACGACACCCAUGGGUCCAAAUUUACCCUUAUAAUAUUUCAGUCUCUCAUGUCUCAGUCCUUUCUCCUUGGUCCCCCACAACAUUCCAGGCAAACACCCAUCUGUUCUCUGUAACUAUAGAGUGUUUACAUCUUCUGAGAUUUUAUGUAAUUUAAUUCCACGUGGCUUCUAUCCCUCAAUACGAUAAUUUGGGGAUUC
rnacentral:sRNA from 1 species